rnacentral:rRNA from 1 species
GUCAAAGCGUUCAUUAAAGUCGAGUUGGCUUAGGGAUACGUUCGUUGGGUAGGGGAGCGUUCUGUAAGCCUGUGAAGGUGUGUCGUGAGGCAUGCUGGAGGUAUCAGAAGUGCGAAUGCUGACAUAAGUAACGAUAAAGCGGGUGAAAAGCCCGCUCGCCGGAAGACCAAGGGUUCCUGUCCAACGUUAAUCGGGGCAGGGUGAGUCGACCCCUAAGGCGAGGCCGAAAGGCGUAGUCGAUGGGAAACGGGUUAAUAUUCCCGUACUUGGUGUUACUGCGAAGGGGGGACGGAGAAGGCUAUGUUGGCCGGGCGACGGUUGUCCCGGUUUAAGCGUGUAGGUGUGUGUUCCAGGUAAAUCCGGUUCACUUUAACACUGAGGCGUGAUGACGAGGCACUACGGUGCUGAAGCAACAAAUGCCCUGCUUCCAGGAAAAGCCUCUAAGCAUCAGGUAACAUCAAAUCGUACCCCAAACCGACACAGGUGGUCAGGUAGAGAAUACCAAGGCGCUUGAGAGAACUCGGGUGAAGGAACUAGGCAAAAUGGUGCCGUAACUUCGGGAGAAGGCACGCUGACACGUAGGUGAAGUGAUUUACUCAUGGAGCUGAAGUCAGUCGAAGAUACCAGCUGGCUGCAACUGUUUAUUAAAAACACAGCACUGUGCAAACACGAAAGUGGACGUAUACGGUGUGACGCCUGCCCGGUGCCGGAAGGUUAAUUGAUGGGGUCAGCGCAAGCGAAGCUC